rnacentral:rRNA from 1 species
AUGAAGCCCCUCGACGAGCAAGACUCAAAAAGGUUAUUUUCUCGGAGAGUAUAUGGAUCUGAAGAUGAUCAUCCAUCCCAAUUUGAAGAAAUCUCAGCUGAAAUUUUGAAGAAGUGUGGGGGACUCCCACUUGCAAUCAUUACUAUAGCUAGCCUAUUAGCUAGUCGUCCUGAAAGGUUAAGGGAUGAAUGGGAGAGCAUUAGGAAUUCUCUUGGAGCCCAGCUUGCGGCAAAUCCCACAUUGGAAGGGGUUAAGAGUAUAUUAAACCUUAGCUACAUCCACCUUCCUCUUCAUCUCCGUGCAUGUUUGUUGCACCUUGGUAUAUAUCCUGAAGAUAGCGAGAUCAAGAGGGAUGAUUUGGUUCGACAAUGGUUGGCUGAAGGAUUUGUCAGUAAUUUGCAUGGGCAAAAUGUGGAGGUUGUUGCCAAGAGCUAUUUUAAUGACCUUGUCAAUAGAAGCUUGAUUCAGCCUGGACGUAUGGAGGACGGCGAGUUGUUAUCAUGCAGAGUACAUGAUAUGAUGCUCGAUUUGAUAUUAAGCAAGUGUAAUGAGCAUAAUUUUCUAAGAGUUGAAUGCAAUUAUGAAGACAUGGCAAGAGAUCAUGGUCGGAAAUAUAAGGUUUGUCGUAUAUCCAUGAACUUCAUUAACGGUGGUGCAACAAAUGACAUAGCAUCAGGGAGCAUUCGAUGUAGCCUAUCAAAAGUUCGAUCACUUUCACUUUUCGGGAAAUGCAACUACAUGCCCCCUCUUUUGCAUUGUAAGUAUCUCAGGGUGCUUCUCUUCAAUAGUUGGGGCGACAAAGUAAUUGAUCUCACUGAUAUUAGCCAAUUGUUCCAACUGAGGUAUUUAAAAGUUUCAUAUAAAGGAGAAAUCAAACUCCCUACUAAAAUGCAAGGGCUUGUGCAUUUGGAGACACUUGAUUUAGCUUGCUAUCUAGGGCCAGAAAUCCCAUCAGAUAUA